rnacentral:lncRNA from 1 species
GAGCGAGCCCACGGUCUGCCGACGCGGGGCCAGCAGCGGGCCCCAGGAUCCGGAGCUUCGGGCGGGGCCGAGUCCAGCGCCUACCAUGUGUCUGGCAAGGGAGGUGUAACAGAAAAACUAGGUGUGGUCCAGGCCCUCCAGGGGCUCAGGGGCUUGUGGAAGAAGUGGACAUUGAAGUACUUACCACACAAAUGAGCAUGAAAGUACAAUAGCGAUAUCUGCCACGAAGCUGUUGUUCCCCACCAGAACCAAAUGAGCGCAAGAUCUGACAAAGAAAAAAAAAGGUUCAUCUUUUAUUCCGCCAAACACUUUCAUUUAAAUCAAGAGGGUGGGAUGUGGUUAUUGCUGUGUUUUUAGACAGAAUCAACAGUUUCUGGGUCUGAGAUAUUGCAUACACCCUCUCAGUCCCUGUAUCCUGAGAUGGAGUCACCUGAGAAUCCACAGCAAGUCCUAACCAGGGAUGGGUCUGGGUGGUUAAGGAAGGUUGGCUUCAGAACUGGGCCAGGGGCACUGCUUUGCUUUUGCUGUUUUGAUCAGCUCUCUGCCCGCAGGAGACAAGGAAAACCAACGGGAACAGCUUGGGAAUCUGAGUUACAGAGCUUGUCUGCACUGAGUCAACAGGAGCAAAUGCUAGAUCAGAUAGGAUCUCUCUCUCUCUGCCACCCAGGCCAGAGCGCAGUUGAUGCAGGGCAGGGGAGCCCCGCAGUGGAGCAUAGUGUGUCCAGAACUGGUGGGUUCUUGGUCUCACUGACUUCAAGAAUGAAGCCACGGACCCUCGCG